GGGCGAAUGGUUUAGUGGUAUAAUACUCCCUUAGCAUGUUCGCUUGUUCUGAUGUGGGAGUGGUCCAGGGUUCGAUUCCCUGUUCGUCCA